UCAAACCAAGCCAUCAUAAAUACACCAGAGAUGACUAAAAUGAAAGUCUUUUCGCUCAUUGAGAUUUUUUGGUAGGUAUUAAGCUUCAAUUCGACCAUUAAUUACCGUAAAUUUUCGAUUUUUGCAAAAUUACGAAAAAUAUGUUAUAAUCCUUGACCUUCCCGAAGCUUAUACUUCGUUUAGUCGAUUGUAUGAAAGUUUUUUUUAAGAAACCGGUCUUUUACUGC
rnacentral:lncRNA from 1 species